rnacentral:lncRNA from 1 species
AGUUACAUCUAUAAUGGAAAUGGUUGGGUCCUGGUGGCAGAAGGAGGCUCUCUAGCAGACCAUUAAGGACCCAGAAGUGGGAGUACCUGUGAUUGAGACACAAAGCUGGCUGUGACUUCUUGGUCUUUCUUGUGAAGCAUUAGGUGCUAAAUAAGCAGACCUUUAGUAGCCUUCUUAAGGACACAUCUUCCAUGUUUCCAUCUUUGAAGGGAAAUGAAGGACAAAUGAGGCUCAGGGAUGACACUUCCUUUGAAUGGGAUGAAUCACAGCAUGAGGGAUCUUCGGCUUGGGAGACAUCCUUACUCCCCUAUUGGAGAACCGGGCAUAAACAGGAAGAUCACAGUGGCACACCUCCAGCAAAUGUCCUCCAGAGGCAUUGUGCCCUGAUGGGAGGCGGCUGCAUGCAGAUGGUAGGGAGGUAUCUUAAGACAAUGCGGCACAGGGAUCCAUCCCCUGAGAACUGGAUGUGCAAGCAUGAAGUAGUGGAGUCCCUGCCUAUUACCUUGCUACGACAGGCAGGGAGACACACCUGAUGAAGAUACCUAUGGCAAUGAAAUGAAGUCGUAUUCUCAGACCUCAGUAAUGGGUAAAUGUCAUAUGUAAUUUUCCAACUAUAUUUUAAAGCCCAUUUGGUGACAGUGAAAUUUCUCAAAUCAAUGAACUUCUAUAAAAACUACAGGAAAGUUCUCCCAGUAAAAUCUUCCAAUCUUGAGUGUUGUUUGGUGCCUGUUAUUUGGUUUUUUCUUUGUUUUAAAAAUAAUUUUAUUUUAAGAGCACAUGUUGAUAAAUUCAAAAGUCUUCAUGGUGACUUCACAACAGUUCUAAUUUAGGGCCACUUACCAUCAUUUCAGUCCAUCAAGAGCACAUCUCUAGUCUUUCAUCUUUUCAUAAUUUUCCACUGUCCAUGUCCAUCAAGUGGCCAUUGCUUGUUGUCGAUAAUGAAGCCCUCUCCUACUCAUUUGCUGUUUCUCUAUUCUGUUGCAGCUGGUGACUUCCACAGCAGUUGCUGAUGCCAGAUCCCACCAGACACUCCUCAGCUUCCUUAAAAUCUCAUUCUCGCCGCCGUUUACAUGCCAUUUCCUCUUCAGUAUGAAUGCAGACCCACAGCAUCAUUCCAGACUGUGGGACCUAUCCUCGACGUUAAAAAUUGCUUAGUAAAACUGGGCAGCAGCAGCAGAAACCAAACACUCACGCUUUUUGUUACAAGUGUGAAACCUGCCACUACGCGGCUGAGAGAUGUCACCAUGCUAGCUGUGGGCGAUCCCCCUUCGCUCCUGAGCUCACUCCCGCACCGAACGCUGCG